ensembl:snRNA U6 U6 spliceosomal RNA
GUGCUCGCUUUGGCAGCACAUAUACUAACACUGGAAUGAUACAGAGAGGAUUAGCAUGGCCCUGUGCAGGGGUGACACGCAAACUGGUGAAGCAUUCCGUAUCACC